GUGCCAGCCGCCGCGGUAAUACCGGCAGCACGAGUGAUGGCCGAUAUUAUUGGGCCUAAAGCGUCCGUAGCUGGCCGGACAAGUCCGUUGGGAAAUCCACCCGCUUAACGGGUGGGCGUCCAGCGGAAACUGUUCGGCUUGGAGCCGGUAGACCCGAGGGGUACGUCCGGGGUAGGAGUGAAAUCCCGUAAUCCUGGACGGACCGCCGGUGGCGAAAGCGCCUCGGGAGGACGGACUCGACAGUGAGGGACAAAAGCUCGGGUCUCAAACCGGAUUAGAAACCCUAGUAGUCC
rnacentral:rRNA from 1 species